rnacentral:lncRNA from 1 species
GGCGCGUGUUGGGGAGGACGGGGAGAACCUGGGAGAAGAGGCAGCUCCUUACAAAGCUCAACGUUAAAUUACCACGUGACCCCGGCACUUCCUCUUAUGGGUGUACACCCGAGAGAAACAAAAAUGCAUUUCCACACACAAGCUUGUACACGAAUGUUCACAGCGGCACUGUGUGUAAUAGCCCUAAACGGAAGCAAUUCAAAUGUUCUAUCAAUGGAUGAACGGAUAAACAACAUGGUCUAUCCACACACUAGACUGUAUGAUUCAUCAGUAACAAAUGGAGCGUCAGCACGUGGUCCAAUGUGAGCGAACCGUGAAAACCUUACGUUCAGUGAAAGACGCCAGACGCCAGAGACCACUCAUCGCUGAGCCCAUCUCCCUGCAACACUGCCGAUGACAUCUCAAUCAAGCUGCUUCAUGAGAAAGGCCCAGCCACUGACCACGGGGUGAACGUCCUGCCGUCCACAGUCCCUGGCCGAGAAGAAAGUAUGACUGACAGGUAAGACUACCUAAAGUCCCAGGCACACCCUGGGGCGGGGAGGAGGCUGGGGACAAGGACAGAGUGUGCAAAGACACGCCGGGCUCUGGGAGGUCAGCAGAGAGUCUGGACCCCAGAUUUGAGGCAGCCAGGAACUGCCUGCCAGUCCCAGCUCAUAUGGCCUGAGCUUGGCCAACCGUGGCGGGUCCCACUCGCAGAUGGCCAGCUGCCUCCGUGCCCUGGGGCAGGGAUGUCCUGUUCCUGCUCUUUAGAGUGACAGGGAGGCCCUCCCUAACAGACUUCUCAGUCAUUUAGGUUGGGGGCAAAAGGGGCUGGCCGCAGCUUCGUGUAGGUGGAGCAGGGCUUGGUGGGGGGGCAGGGCUAGGUGGGCUUGCCCGGGGUCGAGGUGGUGGUCACUGUCUAGUCCCCACCCAGGACAGACACUCGGGGUCCCAGGGAGGGCUCUGCCUCCUGCCUGGCAGGAAAGCGUCCUGCCCACCCGGUGCCAUGGCCUGGGGAGUGCUUGGCUCUCAGGCCAGCUGCCCGCAGGAGAAGCUGGGACUGGGGCGGGGAACCAGCCUGUUCGCUUCCGAGUGGGGCUGACAAACCCCCAGCCUCUUCACAAAGCCUCCAAAAACGGAAUGUCGUGGGGAACUGGACGCAGAUCCACAGGGCCAUAGAGAGCAUUUCCGGCUUAGUCAAGGGAGUAACUUUUUAACAGUUUAAAUGCGCGUGAUGGGAUGUGCAGGCUUGGGAGGCAGUGGACCAGAUAAAACCAUUGGCCAGAAGAUACAGAAGGGCUCUAGGCCGCCCAGGCCCUUCAGUUAGAACAUCCCCCACCCCUCCCCCCCGGCUCCCAGGGCAACGUCAGAGACCAUCUGGAUGGAGGAUGGGGCUGGUCCUGGCUUCUCACAGUUUGGGAGGUGGGGCAGCUGGGCACCAGGUCAGCAAGCCACAGGUCCACCCACAGCCAAGGCCCAGGCUCCCCGCCUCCCCCCGUAACCACCUAGACACAGAGCACAGACCCUGCCUGGCCAUCGGCCCUCCAAUCCCUGCUGGAAGAUGUGCCCAGGCGGAGCAGGACCCCCGCAUUACUGCUGCGCGUCCAGCACCUGCAGCGGGGCCCAGCACGGUGGGCAUUCCACAUGGGCGAGGGCCAGACGAGUGAGCCACACCCCACCCUUUACUCAACCAUCCCCCAUGAGGACGACAUCAGAGUCGUCCCCCAAGCCCAGGUCUGACACUCUCUUUCCCCAACUUUGGCCUGGAGCCCGAGGCCUACCCCUCUGCUCUCCCUGCACGCUGGGUGCCCUGGAGCCGGUGAGCAUGAGCACGUGAGAUCCUGAGGCCAGAAACAUCUCCCCAACCCAGCCAGACAAACUCUAAUUCACCUGUGAGCCCCAGCUCCAGGCCACCUCCUCCAGGCAGCCUUCCUUGACUGCAGUGCACCCUGGGGUAUCUGGGAGACGCCUCUGCACAGUCUUUGAAUCGGGCUGUACAAGUAUCUGUCCUAGCGGCAGCAGAGCCGCGUCAUAAACAGUAAAACAAGCCCGGCGCGGUGGCUCACACCUGUAAUCCCAGCACUUUGGGAGGCCAAGGCAGAUGGAUCACCUGAGCUCAGGAGUUCGAGACCAGCCUGGCCAACAUGGCAAAACCCCGUCUCUACUAAAAAUACAAAAAAAGCCAGGCAUGGUGUCGGGUGCCUGUAAUCCCAGCUACUCGGGAGGCUGAGGCAGGAGAAUCACUUGAGCCCGGGAGGCAGAGGUUGCAGUGAGCCAAGAUCGCACCACUGCACUCCAGCCUGGGCAACAGAAUGAGACUCCAUCUGACAACAAAACAAAACAAAACAAUAAAACAGCAACAGCAGCUCAGGGCUCCUGCAGUUCAAGGUUUUAGCGGCCUGGGCAUGCGGUUUCUCUGCCUACUUGGACCUGAGCAGCCUCCCUCUGCCCAAUGUCACUGCACACUCCCUGCAUGCCCCAGCCCUGACUCGGGUGAGUGGACCAUGCAGACGGCGAGAGGCCAUGCAGGCCAAGCCAGGAUAGAGCGAACCCUGGCGGGGCCAGGUGGUCCCCGUGUGUUUGCAGCCUGGAUGUGAUGCCCACAUCUCUGGGCCAGGCACAGCUCUCCACUGUCGGCGGCUGGUGGGAUUAGAUGUGACCAAGGCCGCUCCCGGGCCGGCUCUACUCUGUGGGGGGCAGGUGCGGCUCUGGGGGUCCUGUUGGGCCUGAGCACGUCCCGAUAACCUGGCUGCUGCCCACUGCCCAAGCGCCAGAGCACUCGGCCACCAAUGAGAGCUGUGCUUCCCUGGUCCUGGGUUAAAA